GCCAAAGGCAUAGCCGUCCGUUUAAAGGUGAGACUCGUGAAUUUUACGUGCAAGGUAUGUUAGGGCUCUUAGAUUGUACCCAUAUAAAAAUAUUACCUCCUAAUGAGCCACAAAGUGCACAAUAUCAAAAAUUGAGGAAAGAUGCCUGCGACACCAAGGUUCAACUGUGUUCCAAUGGAGGAAACUAUUAUAAAUGACCAUCAUAUGUGAGAAGAACCUGUAC